AUGGUGCGAGGCCUGCCAUGCCUCGACCAUGUGGAGCAGUUCUGCGACAUCUGCGUACUGACAAAGCAGAGACGACUCCCCUUUCCCCAACAGGCGAGUUUUCGGGCUAAGGAGAAGCUGGAGCUCGUGCACGGAGACCUGUGCGGCCCGGUGACGCCAGCCACACCAGGAGGUCGACGCUACUUCCUGCUGCUCGUCGACGAUCUCUCCCGCUACAUGUGGGUGAUGAUCCUCGGCAGUAAGGGAGAAGCGGCGGACGCCAUCAGGCGCGCGCAGGUUGGUGUGGAGGCGGAGAGCGGCCGCAAAUUGCGCGUGUUGCGCACUGACAACGGCGGCGAGUUCACGGCGGCUGAAUUCGCGUCGUACUGCGCCGAUGAGGGCAUCCAGCGCCACUACUCCGCGCCGUACAGCCCGCAGCAAAACGGCGUCGUUGAGCGGCGCAACCAGACGGUUGUGGGGAUGGCUCGGGCUCUCCUUAAGCAGAGAGGGAUGCCGGCUGUCUUCUGGGGAGAGGCGGUGCUAACGGCCGUCUACAUCCUCAACCGCUCUCCUACUAAGGCACUCGACGGCAGAACUCCGUACGAGGCCUGGCAUGGGCGGAAGCCGGCGGUCUCUCAUUUGCGGGUCUUUGGCUGCCUUGCGUUCGCCAAGGAGCUCGGCCACAUCGGCAAGCUCGACGACAGGAGCACUCCGGGAGUCUUCAUCGGCUACGCGGAGGGCUCAAAGGCCUACCGCAUCCUCGACCCAAAGACACAACGUGUGCGCACAGCGCGAGACGUCGUGUUCAACGAAGGGCGAGGGUGGCAAUGGGACAAGGCGGUGGACGACGGCUCGACGCCGACGUAUGACGACUUCAUUGUCGAGUACGCUCACUUCAAGGAAGCUGGGGGAGCAAGCAGCUCCUCUUCACCGGGCACGUCUACCCCGGCCCCCAAAACUACAUCGACUCCGGCGCCUGCUACACCGACGACACCACAACCGGCGACGCCGCAUACUCCAGCCCCGGCGGUCGCCACUCCGGGCUCGUCUUCAUCAGCACCAGCUCACGCAGAGCACAACCCGAUGAAGUUUGCUUCCCCGCUCACUCACGACGAGGAGCUGGUCGACGCAUGGUAUGGAGGCGAACCGCUGCGGUACCGUACGAUGGAUAAUGUGCUCGGCGACCAGCCGGUGCCAGGACUGGUGCCACGUGACCUGGAGGCGCAGCUACAGCUCGUGUGUGAAGACGGCGAACCACGGUCCUUUGCAGAGGCCGAGAGAGACGCGGCAUGGCGCGCCGCGAUGAAGUUGGAGAUGGAUGCGGUCGAGCAAAACCGCACCUGGGAGCUUGCUGAUCUCCCUCGAGGUCACCGCGCAAUCACCCUUAAGUGGAUGUUCAAGCUGAAGAGGGAUGGAGCCGGCGCCAUCAUCAAGCACAAGGCUCGUUUGGUGGCCCGAGGCUUCUUGCAGCAGGAAGGAGUCGACUUUGACCACGCUUCCGCUUUCGCUCCCGUGGCACGGAUGGAGUCCGUGCGACUUCUCCUUGUGCUGGCUGCCCAGGAGGGCUGGCGUGUCCACCACAUGGACGUUAAGUCGGCAUUCCUCAAUGGCGACUUGAAGGAGGAAGUCUACGUGCAUCAGCCACCGGGGUUUAUGAUUCCCGGCCAGGAGGGCAAGGUGCUCCGCCUGCGCAAGGCUCUCUAUGGCCUGCGGCAGGCACCCAGGGCGUGGAACGCCAAGCUGGACUCCACGCUGAAGAAGACGGGUUUCGAGCAGAGCCCGCAUGAGGCUGCCGUCUACCGACGGGGGAGUGGAGGAAAUGCCCUGCUGGUGGGCGUCUACGUUGACGUCCUGGUGAUCACCGGCACCAAAGAUGCAGAGGUGGCGGCGUUCAAGGAAGACAUGAAGGCCACGUUCCAGAUGAGUGACCUGGGGCUCCUCUCCUUCUAUCUAGGGAUUGAGCUCACUCCGAUGGAGGAGAGGCUGAAACUAAGUCGCGACAGCACGACGGAGGAAGUGGAUGCUACGCAGUACCGACGCCUUGUGGGGAGCCUUCACUACCUCACUCACACACGGCCGGACUUGGCAUUCUCCGUCGGCUAUGUCAGUCGGUUCAUGGAGCGACCAACGUCGGAACACCAACAGGCAGUGAAGAGGAUCGUCCGCUACAUAGCAGGGACCCUCGACCACGGCCUCCAUUACCCUAGGUGCCUUGGGGCGGCACACUUCGUCGGGUACAGCGACAGCGACCACGCCGGCGACAUCGACACCAGCAAGAGCACGAGCGGGAUCCUCCUCUUCCUCGGCAAGUGUCUCGUGAGCUGGCAAUCAGUCAAGCAGCAGGUGGUGGCCCUGUCCAGCUGUGAGGCUGAAGACACCAGAACGGUGCAGCUCCUGGUGGACAACAAGUCCGCCCUGGCCCUGGCAAAGAACCUCGUGUUCCACGAACGGAGCAAGCACAUCCGACUGAGGUAUCACUUCAUCCGCAGCUGUGUGGAAGAAGGGAGCAUCGAGGCGAGCUACAUCAACACCAAGGAUCAGCUCGCAGACCUGCUCACCAAGCCCCUUGGGAGGGUCAAGUUCCUCGAACUUUGCUCCAGGAUUGGGAUGAUUCAACUCUCCCACAAGACGACGUACAAGACUUAG
rnacentral:rRNA from 1 species